AUUGAACGCUGGCGGCAGGCCUAACACAUGCAAGUCGAGCGAGUGGCGGACGUGGGAGUAAUGUAUGGGGAUCUGCCCGAUGGAGGUGGAUAACUACUGGAAACGGUGGCUAAUACCGCAUACUAUCGGAUGCACCCAUAUGUGAUUAGCUAGGAGGUGGGGUAACGGCUCACCUAGGCGACGAUCCCUAGCUGGUCUGAGAGGAUGCACAGCCACACUGGAACUGAGACACGGCCCAGACUCCGACGGGAGGCAGCAGUCGGGAAUAUUGCACAAUGGGCGCAAGCCUGAUGCAGCCAUGCCGCGUGUAUGAAGAAGGCCUUAGGGUUGUAAAGUACUGUCAGCGGGGAGGCGUUACCCGCAGAAGAAGCACCGGCUAACUCCGUGCCAGCAGCCGCGGUAAUAC
rnacentral:rRNA from 1 species